ensembl:lncRNA
GAGGACUGGGGGUUAUAAUGGGAUCUCUAUGGUUUAUUGGAGGACUGGGGGUAUAAUGGGAUCUCUAUGGUUUCUUGGAGGACUGGGGUUAUAAUGGGGGUGGGGGGGAUCAUAGAGACGAUGGAGGACUGCGUUGGAGGACUUGGGACCAUAGAGAUGAUGGAGGACUCAUGAUCAUAGAGUCUGUGGAGGACUAUGGGGACGCUGGAGGACUUGAGACCAUAGAGAUGGUGGAUUUGGGACAAUAGAGACUAUGGAGGACUAUAGGGAUGCUGGAGGACUAUAGGAACCAUAGAGAUGGUGGAGGACUAUAGGGAAUAGAGAUGCUGGAGGACUUGAGACCAUAGAGAUGCUGGAGGACUGCGUUGGAGGACCUGAGACCAUAGAGAUGCUGGAGGACUGGAGGGACUCUGGAGGACUUGUGACCAUAGAGAUGUUGGAGGACUGCGUUGGAGGACCUGAGACCAUAGAGAUGCUGGAGGACUGAAUCCUAGAGCGUCUUUUCUGCCUGUCUGUGCUGUUCUGUCCCAACCAUAGAGUUUAUAUUUAUAAUGAAGGUUUUUUAUACCAAAAUAAACCAUUUUGGGCCGGUUUUUACCCAUUUCAAGGCCUCAUUUCGUUCACAAAAGCCUCCAAAGCGCUGAUUGGGCGCAAAAAACAGCGCCAAACCAUUUUCCUUCACCCAUUGGUCGCCUCACCCGUCAAUCACUCUGAACCCCCUUCCUAUUGGCUGAGCAGCGCGGCGAGCCCACCUUCCUUUCCCAUUGGUCGGCUCGCCUGUCCGUCACUCUCCGCCCCUAUUUCUAUUGGCUGAGAGGACGCGCCCGCCUUUUCCGGAGUCUUUGCGGCAAGAUGGCGGCGCCCGUGUGGGCGCGGGGGCUGCGCUGCGCCAUGACGGGACAAUGGAGGAUGAAGGCUGGAGCCCGGCUCAGGCCCAGAUGUUGGGGACACAGUUUUGGGGUCAGCGCCCCCCAGAGCAGGAACCAGGACCUAAAAUCAGGUACUUAUGGGGUGAUAUGGGGUCUCUAUGGGUCUCUAUGGGUCCCUAUGGGGUUGUUAUGGGUCCCUAUGGGUCACUAUGGGUCCCUAUGGGGUCUUUAUGGGUUCUUUGGGGUCUCUAUGGGUCCCUAUGGGGUUCUUAUGGGGUCCUAUGGGGUCUCUAUGGGUCCCUGUGGGGUCAUUAUGGGUCUCUAUGGGUCUCUGUGGGUCCCUAUGGGGUCUCUAUGGGUCCCUAUGGGGUUCUUAUGGGGUCCUAUGGGUUUCUAUGGGUCCUAUGGGGUCCCUAUGGGGUCUCUAUGGGUCUCUGUGGGUCCCUAUUGGGUUCUUAUGGGUCCCUAUGGGGUCUCUAUGGGUCCUAUGGGUCACUAUGGGUCCCUAUGGGGUCUUUAUGGGUUCUUUGGGGUCUCUAUGGGUCUCUGUGGGUCUCUAUGGGGUUUCUAUGGGUCACUAUGGGUCCCUAUGGGUCCUAUGGGGUCUCUAUGGGUUUCUAUGGGGUCUCUAUGGGUCCUGUGGGGUCUCUAUGGGUCUUAUGGGUCUCUAUGGGUUCGCUAUGUGUCCCUAUGGGGUCUCUAUGGGUCCUAUGGGGUCUCUAUGGGUCACAAUGGGUCCCUAUAGGGUUGUUAUGGGUCCCUAUGGGUCCUGUGGGUUUCUAUGGGGUCCCUAUGGGGUCUCUAUGGGGUCAUUAUUGGUCUUAUGGGGUCUCUGUGGGGGGAUAUGGGGAUCUAUGGGUCUCUAUGGGGUUCUUAUGGGGUCCUAUGGGUUUCUAUGGGUCCUAUGGGGUCACUAUGGGUCUCUAUGGAUCCUAUGGGGUCCCUAUGGGUCUUAAUGGGUUCGCUAUGGGUCCCUAUGGGGUCUUUAUGGAUCCUAUGGGGUCCCUAUGUGUCUCUAUGGGGUGCUAUGGGGUCAGUAUGGGUCUCUAUGGGGUCUCUAUGGGUCCUAUGGGUUUCUACGGGGUCCCUAUGGGGUCUUUAUGGGUCCUAUGGGGUCCCUAUGGGGUCAUUAUGGGUCUUAUGGGGCCGCUAUGGGGUCAGUAUGGGUCUCUGUGGGUCCUAUGGGGUCUCUAUGGGUCCCUAUGGGGUCUCUAUGGGUCCCUAUGGGGUCUCUAUGGGUCCCUAUGGGGUUGUUAUGGGUCUCUAUGGGUCCCUAUGGGGUUCUUAUGGGGUCCUAUGGGGUCUCUAUGGGGUCUCUAUGGGUCCCUAUUGGGUUCUUAUGGGUCUUAUGGGUCUCUAUGGGGUCACUAUGGGUCCCUAUGGGUCCCUAUGAGGUUCUUAUGGGUCCCUAUGGGUCACUAUGGGGUCUCUAUGGGUCUUAUGGGGUCUUUGUGGGUCUCUAUGGGGUCCCUAUGGGUCCCUAUUGGGUUCUUAUGGGUCCCUAUGGGGUCUCUAUGGGUCCCUAUGGGGUCUCUAUGGGUCUCUAUGGGGUCAAUAUGGGUCUCUAUGGGUCCCUAUGGGGUUGUUAUGGGCCCUAUGGGGUCAUUAUGGGUCUCUAUGGGUCUCUAUGGGUCCCUAUGGGGUUGUUAUGGGUCUCUAUGGGUCCCUAUGGGUCGUAUGGGUCUUAUGGGUCUCUAUGGGGUCUCUAUGGGUCCUAUGGGGUUGUAUGGGUCCCUAUGGGUCUCUAUGGGUCCCUAUGGGGUCUCUAUGGGGUCAUUAUUGGUCUUAUNGGUCUCCCUGCCCCACACUUUAGGCUGGAGCCCGGUUCAGGCCCAGAUGUUGGGGACACAGUUUUGGGGUCAGCGCCCCCCAGAGCAGGAACCAGGACCUAAAAUCAGGUUCACAGCGGAGCUGGCUCGUGCCUACCUGGCUGUGAGGCUCAGGAGGGACCACGCGGCUGUGGGGCGGGCACUGCAAGAGGGCGGCCCACGAGUUAUGGGGCGGCAGCGUGCGGCACUACGUGUGUGUGGGGCCAUCCAGGGCCAUGAGGGACAUGGGGGAGAGACUGAGACACGGUGAGGGGGU